UGCGUAGGCGGUUAGGUAAGUCAGAUGUGAAAUUCCAGGGCUCAACCUUGGAACUGCAUUUGAUACUGCUUGACUAGAGUACUGGAGGGGAGACUGGAAUUCACGGUGUAGCAGUGAAAUGCGUAGAUAUCGUGAGGAAGGCCAGCGGCGAAGGCGAGUCUCUGGACAGUUACUGACGCUGAGGCACGAAGGCUAGGGGAACAAACG
rnacentral:rRNA from 1 species